rnacentral:rRNA from 1 species
UACGAAGGGGCUAGCGUUGUUCGGAUUUACUGGGCGUAAAGCGCACGUAGGCGGAUUCUUAAGUCAGGGGUGAAAUCCCGAGGCUCAACCUCGGAACUGCCUUUGAUACUGGGAUCUCGAGUUCGGGAGAGGUGAGUGGAAUUGCGAGUGUAGAGGUGAAAUUCGUAGAUAUUCGCAAGAACACCAGUGGCGAAGGCGGCUCACUGGCCCGAUACUGACGCUGAGGUGCGAAAGCGUGGGGAGCAAACAGG